CUUCUGGAAGUUUGGCAGAACCUGCGUGCAGACUGCUGGUGUUUUGGCUCGUUUCUGUCUUGCAGUGCCGAGGAUUGAGUCCAGAGCCUAGGCCAAGUUAGGCAAGUUUUCUACCACUGAGUUGCACCCCCUGCCCUGCUGCUGUGUGUGGAAAGUUAACUGCCGUGUAGCUUUUUUCCAUGACCAUUGAUGAUUUUCAGAUUUUCUAUCUCUUCAAAGUCAGUUUGGUACUUUUGGUUGUCCUAGAAAGCCAUUCAUGUCAUUGAAUUUGAACCUAGGGUAGCACAGUGCUCUGUAUAGUUCGUUGGAGGAAAAGAAACUCAUACAUCUGUGAUGUUACCUUUUUCAACACUAGUGUUUAUUGGCCAGACGUGCUUAGUGAUCGCUUAUUGUAUUAAUCUUUUGGAAGAACCAGCUUUGGGAGUUCUCGGUGAGUGCUGCUGAUGUUUAUCCUUCUACAUCAGUCAUUUCUGUUCUUACUAUUUAUCUUUCUGCUUCAUUUAAAUGUACUUUGUGCAAGCUCUAGCCUCCCGAAAAUGGAAAACUUGAAUCAUUUGUUUAACCAGCUGAUCCUCCUCCUAAAACAGGCAAGGUGUUGGAAUUCAUUUUGUUGGCCUCACAUGUUUUUUUGCCCUCCAGUAGCGGGGAUUGAACUCAGGACCUUGCGCUUGCAAGGGAGGCAGCUGCACCACUGAGCUAAUUCCCUGGCCCGAGUUGGUUUGGUUUCAUCCUUGCUCCGUCAAAUCUGACUCAAGGUCCUGCCGUGGUAUCUCUCCCUGGGGUCCAUGUGUAUAACUCCAGAGAAUGUCCUUCAGAAUCGUGACCGUAAAGCCCACUGGAGGAGAACCAGCUUGAGGGAAGUAGAGAGUCCUGGGGUGUUUUGUUGGUUGGUUGGUUGGUUGGUUGGUUUGAAGCUCUGAAGGGGGCCAGGGAUCUACCUCAGUGGUUCUGCUGAGAUGAAGCAUGAAUUCCACUAAUGUUUUCUAUAUGUCCAUUCCCAUUGCUUUACAGUCCCUGGCAGUGUAUAAACCACAGAAGGUUUUGUUGAAACCUGAAUGAGUGCAAGAAUGGCAAGUUUAUCUGUAGGCAGAAGCCAUACAGAGUACCGUGUGGACUCAGUGCUGUAACAGAAACUACCUGAAAAAUGCCAACGAUUGAGAGGACUGUGCUAACAGUGCAUGGGAGAUGGGGUGGGAGACAUCUGUGAGACUGAAUUUGACCAGGAUCAGGUCAUUGACUGGAUCGACAUCUGCUCAGAGAAUGCAGAGAUCACCCUGACUGACUUCAGGGCCUCCCAGACAGUGGUCCUGGAUCCCAAAGCUGAUGCCCAAAUUGACCCCAACUGGGUGGUCCUGAAUCAGGGUACAUGGCUUUUAAUGGAGUUGACUUUGAAGGGACCUUCAAUGUAAACACCCAGACAGAUGAUGACUAUGCAGGUUUUAUCUUUGGUUACCAAGACAGCUCCAGUUUCUACAUGGUCAUGUGGAAGCAGACUGAGCAGACUUACUGGCAAGCCAUGCCUUUCAGAGCUGUGGCAGAGCCUGGCAUUCAGCUCAAGGCUGUGAUGUCCAAGACAGGUCCUGGGGAGCACCUCUGGAACUCCCUGUGGCACACGGGACACUAGUGACCAGGUCAAACUGUGUAGAUGGACUCCAGGAAUGUGGGCUGGAAGGACAAGGUGUCCUACCACUGGUUCCUGCAGCACAGGCCCCAGGUGGGCUAUAUCAGGUAGACAGAGAUUCUUUCUCCACCCCUAGCACCAGAAACAAAGUGCCAUUCCAUUUUGUACCUGGAGUGGGUUCCCUGAGCAUCCCUGAUCUGGAUAGCUCUCUAGGACUUGCCAGGGCUCCCAGAAAAGUGUGGUAAGACAUCUAGACCCACACUGACACCCAGACAGGAUGAGAAGUUGGAGAUGGAAGGAGUGUUGGGGGAGGCCUCAGCCAUGGCCAGAUGAGUAUACAUGCAUGGCAGUGCCCUUGUGCUGUGCUCAUGGGACAGGUCCAGAGUUGGGCUGGUAAUGGGCAUGAAGUAAAAGGCAUGGCUGAAGCAUGAGCACACUCUCCUGAGAUCCCCUCAGACCCUGUGUGAUUUACACAGAAUGACCCAAGCCCUUGACUUGUCUUCCCUGAUGGAUUGUAAAAUCCAGGUGAGCAGCACAUUUCCCUCUUAUUUUUGCCAGCACCCAGCCCAGCUCCUGGCACAAGCUGUUCAUUAGGGAGGUCAGCAUCAUCUGCCUUACUGCUUUUAAGAUACCAUUCCUGAGGACUUCCAAGAGUUUCAAACCCAAUAUUUUGAUCUCUUGGAUAAUUAAAUGGAGGAAGCAAUCUGUUACUGCUUUUUUAAACAUGAAAACUGUGUAUUUUUAAACUUCUUAUUGUUCUGGAAUCAUGGAAAGAAAUACAUGGAGACACAGAAUUCAGGUAUUUUAUCACACCCACAAGGUGGAAAUGGAAAGCUGAUGAACACACCCACAAGAUGCAGAGGAGAGGUCUUGAAUCUGGGAAACCCACUUGACCAUCACGAGAAGUCCUGGCCACAGAGCAGUUGUGGCACCAUGGAUGUACACCUUAAUGCCCCUGAGGAGCCUGAAGAGGGUAUCCAAUGGCAGCACAGGAGAUGAGUGCAGCCACCACUCUUGCCUAAACAACUCUUGGUAGCCACCAGAGCACCAUGCUUAAUUCUCCCAAGUGACUGUCUCCUACCUUCCCACAGAAACCACAAAGGGUCAUAUGGGCUCACCCCAGGAGUGGUAUGUAUGGGUGCCCCAAGCAGUGAUGGUCACCAAGGUAUAUCCACAACUAGAAGCUCUAGCUAGCUCCUGGUAUGGGGCUCAAGUGCUGAUCAGUGAAGACACUGUGCCAUUCCUGCCUUUUAUAGGUGGAAGCCUCAGAGACCAGUUGCUGAACAGGUUAUACACAGUAGCUAGUCAUGCAGGGACAGAGCCAAGUGACAGUUCUUUUGAUGUCGAGACCAUUUGAAGGUGGGAAGAGAUGCAAAAUCCCCCCAAAACUGUCAUUCAGUGCAAGCAAACUGCUCAUGCCUUUCAGCCAGAACCACCAUCUUCCAGUACUCUGCCAAAACGGAAAAAGGAGAGGAACCCGGUGUUGUGUUCUCUGGGCCUUUUAGAAAACAUGGGCCUGUUACUUCGGCCACAUAUAAGAAUCUACAAAAAGGGUGAUAUUGUAGACACAUUCUCAGGUGAGGUGAGGAGGGCAUGACAUGCCAUGCAGGGUUACACAGGUGUCUGCUUGGGAGCACAGUGAAAAAGCAGGGUCUGUAAGAAGCACUCUGUGCAAUCAAGAGGGUGCUUUGGGCCUGUAUGUUGGGGAGGAUGUGAUAGGCUUGUGUGAAUAAUCCUGGGGCUGGCAGGAAGUUAACCUUCUAUGCAAAGACAAGGAAGACCUGCACAUGGGCCCUUUGCAGAGGUUCAUCUGGCCAGGGGAUAGAUACUACCAGCAGAGCAGAGGGGGGAGGAAAAUGUACAGCUAGAUCAUUCAAGGCCUUCUCAGUUUAGCUAUCAAAGAGAUAAUUUGGGCCAUAACUUCAGGCCACAGUUUCUAUAAUUUCUAUUAGAGACAUACAAAAGCAAUUCAAAUGCCCAUCAAUGACAUCUGUAGUCUCAGCAGAAACAUGACUAACAAAACUUUUAGCACACAAUCAAAAUGAUAUGAAGGAAGAAAAGAAACUUGAGACUUUUCUAAAAAGACAGGGCUUAGAGAAACAAUAUACUCAGUGUUUGUCAACCUAAAAAGUUUGAGAAUUUGUCUCCUUGCCCACUGUCCCCACCUCAUAUGGAAAAACCAGUAAUGAUGUUUUUAUCAUGACAAACAUAAAAGAAAGCACCUUCAAAGUGGGAAGAGUAGGGGAAAGGAAAGAAGGGAAUGGCAUAUGACAAAAUGAAAAAAUGGAAACAAAGUCUUUGUUAAAUAGAGAGGG